rnacentral:rRNA from 1 species
GACGAACGCUGGCGGCGUGCCUAAUACAUGCCAGUAGAACGCUGAAGAGAGGAGCUUACUCUUCUUGGAUGAGUUGCGAACGGGUGAGUAACGCGUAGGUAACCUGCCUUGUAGCGGGGGAUAACUAUUGGAAACGAUAGCUAAUACCGCAUAACAAUGGAUGACACAUGUCAUUUAUUUGAAAGGGGCAAUUGCUCCACUACAAGAUGGACCUGCGUUGUAUUAGCUAGUAGGUGAGGUAAUGGCUCACCUAGGCGACGAUACAUAGCCGACCUGAGAGGGUGAUCGGCCACACUGGGACUGAGACACGGCCCAGACUCCUACGGGAGGCAGCAGUAGGGAAUCUUCGGCAAUGGGGGCAACCCUGACCGAGCAACGCCGCGUGAGUGAAGAAGGUUUUCGGAUCGUAAAGCUCUGUUGUAAGUCAAGAACGGAUGUGAGAGUGGAAAGUUCACACUGUGACGGUAGCUUACCAGAAAGGGACGGCUAACUACGUG